GGGCCCGUGGCCUAGCUUGGAUAGGGCGCAGGCCUUCGGAGCCUGAAGUCGGGGGUUCAAUUCCCCCCGGGCCCGCCA
rnacentral:tRNA from 1 species